CAGUAGCCGCGGUAAUACGUAGGUGGCAAGCGUUGUCCGGAAUUAUUGGGCGUAAAGGGCUCGCAGGCGGUUUCUUAAGUCUGAUGUGAAAGCCCCCGGCUCAACCGGGGAGGGUCAUUGGAAACUGAGAAACUUGAGUGCAGAAGAGGAGAGUGGAAUUCCACGUGUAGCGGUGAAAUGCGUAGAGAUGUGGAGGAACACCAGUGGCGAAGGCGACUCUCUGGUCUGUAACUGACGCUGAGGAGCGAAAGCGUGGGGAGCGAACAGGAUUAGAUACCCCAGUAGUCCCUGUCUCUUAUAC
rnacentral:rRNA from 1 species